rnacentral:rRNA from 1 species
GAACGAGGAUAUAUCCUUCGGGGUAUAAGCCGAGUGGCGCAAGGGUGAGUAAUGCAUAGAUUACCUGCCUCUAGGAUAAGGACAACUUUGUGAAAACGAAGCUAAUACUUAAUAAUACAAAAGAAAAUAAUUUUCUUUUGUCAAUGGGAGGGUAGCAAUACCUUUUGCCUAGAGAGGGGUUUAUGUCCUAUCAGCUUGUUGAUGGGGUAAUGGCCUACCAAGGCGAAGACGGGUAGCCGGUCUUAGAGGAUGGUCGGCCACACUGGGACUGAGACACUGCCCAGACUUCUACGGAAGGCUGCAGUCGAGAAUCUUUCGCAAUGCCCGAAAGGGUGACGAAGCGACGCCGCGUGAGUGAGGAAGGCCUUAGGGUUGUAAAGCUCUGUCAGGAGUUAAGAAAUAUAAGUGUGUUAAUACCACAUUUAUUUGACGAAGGCUCCAAAGGAAGCCACGGCUAACUCUGUGCCAGCAGCCGCGGUAAUACAGAGGUGGCAAGCGUUGUUCGGAAUUAUUGGGCGUAAAGAGCACGUAGGUGGGUUUGUAAGUCAGAUGUGAAAGCCUUCUGUUCAACGGAAGAAUUGCAUCUGAAACUGCAAGUCUUGAGUGUAGGAGGGGAGAAUGGAACUUCUGGUGGAGCGGUGAAAUGCGUAGAUAUCAGAAGGAACGCCGGCGGCGAAAGCGAUUCUCUGGCCUAUUACUGACACUCAGUGUGCGAAAGCUAGGGGAGCAAACGGGAUUAGAUACCCCGGUAGUCCUAGCCGUAAACGAUGGGCACUAAGUAGAGGGGAUUACCGAUGUUCUCUCUGCCGUAGCUAACGCAUUAAGUGCCCCGCCUGGGGAGUACGGCCGCAAGGCUAAAACUCAAAAGAAUUGACGGGGGCUCGCACAAGCGGUGCAGCAUGUGGCUUAAUUCGAUGCAACGCGAAAAACCUUACCGGGGCUUGACAUGGUAGAAGUAGGAACCCGAAAGGGUAACGAACGGUAUCCAGUCCGUAGCUAUCACAGGUGUUGCAUGGCUGUCGUCAGCUCGUGUCGUGAGACGUUGGGUUAAGUCCCCUAACGAGCGAAACCCUUGUUUUUAGUUACCAGCGGGUUAUGCCGGGUACUCUAGAAAGACUGCCGUCGUCAAGACGGAGGAAGGUGGGGAUGACGUCAAGUCAUCAUGGCCCUUAUGCCCCGGGCUGCACACGUGCUACAAUGGUCGGUACAAACGGAAGCGAAGCCGAGAGGUGGAGCGAAUCCUAAAAAGCCGAUCUCAGUUCGGAUUGGAGGCUGAAAUUCGCCUCCAUGAAGUUGGAAUCGCUAGUAAUCGCGGAUCAGCAUUGCCGCGGUGAAUAUGUUCCCGAGCCUUGUACACACCGCCCGUCAAGCCACCCAAGCAGGAUGCACCCGAAAACAUUAUAUCUAACCAGGUUUACCUGGAGGAAAGUGUUGAAGGAGUGUUUUGUGAGGAGGACU